GUAUUCUGUUUCUUUUUAGCAGAAUAGACUCCAGGAAUUGGGUUGCGAUAGAAAAGUGUCUCCUGUAGCAGAGCUGACAUCCGAUCUCCACCCAAGGCUGGAGGGCCUCUCGAGGCCUUCCCUUUCCCGUGCAGUAUGCAUGUCUUCAUGCAGCUACAGCUAUUUUUAGAACAUUAUAGCUGAAGCACUCUGAUCUUCUCCACAGAGGACAUCCAGAGCAUUUCCAUCUAAGAUGCUAACCAUUGGAAAGAGUCUUGCUUUGCAACCCCAGCUGACUUCAAAUCUAAGAUCUUCCUGCCUUGGUCCCUUGAAUGCGAAGAUUAUCGAUGUGUGCUGUCAUUCCUCGCCUCCCAGUUUGCUUUCUUUUGUAACAAAAUACCUGCAAUUGAGAAACUUACAAGGGAAGAGGUUGACUUUGGCUCAGCAUCCUGAAGACCGGGAAGUCCAGGAUGUCACUUCUGGUAAGGACCAUAUAGAAUUUCACAAUGUGGUGGAACUCAAGAGGCAUGCGUGGAAGAGAAAGCACAAGAGGUAUCCUUGCUUUGUGACAACCUGUUUCCAUGAGAACCAACCCUGCCCAGUAGGAAAGGCCUUAAUUAGCCUCUCUACAGCCCAGCCAUCCUUAAAGUCUCCCAUCACAAGGCUUCUUCAUCUCCCUCCCUCACUUCUCUCCAUGCAGGACUUGGACCUGGCAGUCAGUGUGUCUUUUAGAAGGAGUCAGACAUCCUUGCUCACACUAGACUUGCUUCAGCUGUUUGGGGCUUCUGUGGAGAACUUUCUUUCCUCAGUCUCAACGAAUUCUUAGUUGGAGCUGACUCCUGUAACAAAAUCUGGAUUAGCCAGAGGAAAUCAGAUGGCUUCCCCCUAUUUUCCUCAGGUGAGAGCCACUAAGGGACGAGUAGUUCUCAAGAAGGUAGCCUUGAAUUUCAGCCUAUCCAGUGUUGCAAUAAACAAGAGUGAAUUC
rnacentral:lncRNA from 1 species